UUAUUAUGAGAGUUUGAUCCUGGCUCAGGACGAACGCUGGCGGCGUGCCUAAUACAUGCAAGUCGAACGCUUCUUUCCUCCCGAGUGCUUGCACUCAACUGGAAAGAGGAGUGGCGGACGGGUGAGUAACACGUGGGUAACCUACCCAUCAGAGGGGGAUAACACUUGGAAACAGGUGCUAAUACCGCAUAACAGUUUAUGCCGCAUGGCAUAAGAGUGAAAGGCG
rnacentral:rRNA from 1 species